AUGGAUAAACUGACCAUCAUCUCAGGAUGUCUCUUUCUGGCCACCAAUAUCUUCGCCAUAGCCAGCAUCGCCAACCCCGACUGGAUCAACACCAGGGAGUCAGCGGGAGCACUCACUGGGGGCUAGUGCCACAGUGUCAAACAAUCCAUGGACGAGACCGGACGUGCAUCCCUCCUCAGCUGCCCCCAGAGUGGGUCACCACACUGUUUUUUAUCAUCACAGGAAUCAUUUCAUUGACUGUCACAUGUGGUUUGCUGGUGGCUUCCCACUGGCGAAGAGAAGCUACAAAAUAUGCUUGAUGGAUAGCAUUCACUGGAAUUAUCCUUUUCUGUAUGGCUGCCCUAAUAUUUCCAAUAGGAUUUUACAUCAAUGAAGUCAGAGGUCAACCUUAUAAAUUACCCAACAACACAGUAGUUGGGUCAUCAUAUGUACUUUUUGUCUUAUCGAUUUUCUUUACAAUAGUAGGACUUCUAUUUGCUGGCAAAGUUUGUUUACCAGGCUGAUGAAUGUCUAAACUGCAUGACUCUAUUAUUUUUUAUUUUAUUUUAUUUUAUUUUUUAUUUUUAUUUUUAGAGGGUGGGAGGACAAAGACAAGGCAUCUGAGCUGUCCUCUCAUAGGAAAAUGCUUAGGUGAAACUGAUGCUGAAAAGGAAAAAAUGCUUUGAUUUAUUCUCAAUAUGCACUUUGGAUUAAAAAAAAAAAAUUGAGAGCCUUUCCAUAACCAAAUACAGACAAUAAUGACUAAAUCUCCUGAGCAUAUUCAGGCAGUCAGUCUGCACUGUGAUAGCAACCUAGUGAAGGAGAAUGCUUUAAACUGAAAAGCAUUUGGCCCUUUGUGACUCUGUUGUUCCGUUUUUAACAUCUAAUGAUUCAUUUGAGAAAAAAAGUCUAAGUAUUUAUGAAUCAUGGUGGACCAGAGGGAUGCAAAAGAAGUUCAUGUGGGGCUGGCCUCACCUCCUAAGAAAUUAGUGUUCACAAUUUCCUUGUAAUGGUAUGAGCCUUUGGCACCAGAACGGAUUACCAUUGCAUUACUGCACCAACAAGCCAAUAGAUCAAAAUGUGUUUGCUAAAAUGUAUGUAAAAAUUCUGAAAUUCCCUAAUCUCUAUGUACAAAAAGAAAAGGAAAAAAAAUCAAAACACUA